rnacentral:rRNA from 1 species
AGAACGAACGCUGGCGGCAUGCCUAACACAUGCAAGUCGAACGAGACCUUCGGGUCUAGUGGCGCACGGGUGCGUAACGCGUGGGAAUCUGCCCUUAGGUACGGAAUAACAGUGAGAAAUUACUGCUAAUACCGUAUGAUGUCUUCGGACCAAAGAUUUAUCGCCUAGGGAUGAGCCCGCGUUGGAUUAGCUAGUUGGUGGGGUAAAGGCCUACCAAGGCGACGAUCCAUAGCUGGUCUGAGAGGAUGAUCAGCCACACUGGGACUGAGACACGGCCCAGACUCCUACGGGAGGCAGCAGUGGGGAAUAUUGGACAAUGGGCGAAAGCCUGAUCCAGCAAUGCCGCGUGAGUGAAGAAGGCCUUAGGGUUGUAAAGCUCUUUUACCCGGGAAGAUAAUGACUGUACCGGGAGAAUAAGCCCGGCUAACUCCGUGCCAGCAGCCGC